rnacentral:lncRNA from 1 species
AACGCAGCACAGCCCACUGACUCUCCCCCUCCCCGCCUCAUUCUUUCCACUGCAGCCUCGCUGCUGCUGUCCCCCUCAGCCUGAAAUGCUCUUCCCCAGGACUCGCAGGCUCACUGCCUCAUCUUCCCCAGGUCUUUGCUCAAAGGUCACCAUCUCCAUGAGGCCUUCCCUGACCACCUUAUUUAAGAAAUAAUGACGGAGUUCCCGUCGUGGCUCAGCAAUAACAACCCAACCAGUAUCCAUGAGGAUGUGGGGUCAAUCCCUGGCCUCACUCAGUGGGUUAAGGAUCCAGUGUUGCCCUGAGCUGUGGUAUAGGUCACAGACACGACUCGGAUCCUGUGUUGCUGUGGCUGUGGUUUAGGCCGGCAGCUGCAGCUCUCAUUCGACCCCCAAGCCUGGGAAUUCCCUUGUGCCCCAACUGCAGCCCUAAAAAGCAAAAGCAAAAAAAAAAAAAAGAAGUAAUGUUUUCCCCACACCAGCCACUUCCGGGCCCUCCUGCCUCAUUUUUCUCCUUAGCACCUAUUCCCAGGCGACAUACUCUAUUGCUUGUUUAUUUUGUUUGGGAUCUGUUUGUCUCCACUAGAAUGUAAAAGCACCCUGAAAAAAGGAGGUUUACUCUUUUGUUUGCUGUUGUGUCCUCAGCACCCACAACUGACAAUUCAUUAAAUAUUAGAUUUUGAGUCGGCUCCAGAUUUUGCUGACUUGGAGGAGGCUGGCUAGUAGGCUGUGGCCAUCUCCUGAGCUUCAAAUUCAAACCAAGUACCGUGGCUCAGAGAAGGCAGGUAACUCUCAAGAUCACACAGCCAGGAAGUACUAGAGACUCGCUACUCUCUGUUUUGUUUACAGUAAUUGCGACUGAGCAGAAAGAUUAUUAUCCUUGUUAUGAAGGUGUGCUUUCACCUGUUCCAUCCUGGGCCAGGAUGACCUGUUCAGGGGUCCAUCUCUCCCACUGGUCACUAGGCUUCUCUUUCACAAGGAGCCAUAUUUCAUUCAUAUUGCCAUUUCCCUGGUGCCCAGCACAGGCCUGGUAUGUACCAGGCACCUAUGAAUGUCUGAGCGAAUUAGUGAACAAAGAGGCUCUGUAGUGGCAGGUAGAGUCCAGACCCACCAGGAUUUUAGUCUUGACUUUGCCACUUACUAGCUGUGUGGCGUAGGCAAGUUAGUUAAUUUCCCUGAUCCUAGUUGCUAUGAAAUGAGGAUGCUGGUACUUAAUCCUUCAGAUUACUAUGCAACCUGUAACCUGUAAAUAUAAAGAUUUGAAAUAGGACCUGGCACAUAGUGCAGAGUGCUAGCUUUAAAAAAGGCAGAUUUUAAAUUUAUUUUAUUUUUAUUUACUAUUACUUUUUCUUUUUAUGGCUGCAGGGUGGGCCACAUGGAAGUUUCCAGGCCAGGGGUUGAAUUAGAGCUCCAUCUGCACCCUAUGUCACAGCCAUGGCGACACCUGAUCCUUAACCCACUGGUCAAGGCCAGGGAUCAAACCUGCAUCCUCACAAAGAUGUCAGGUCCUUAACCUGCUGAGCCACAGCAAAAACUGCUAUGUUUUAUUUUGUUGGCCAUGCCCACAGCAAAUGGAAGUUGCCCAGCCAGGGAUCAAACAUGCACCACAGUGGCAACCUGAGCCACAGCAGUGACAACUCUGGGUCCUUAACCUAGUGAGCCACCAGGGAACUCUAAAAGCAGAUUGUUUUUUUUUUUUUCAAGGAAAGAGCUGUGCAUUUCGUGACUGAGUUCCGCUUCAGUGGAAGUGUGCGAAUGGAUGCGCAAAUGGUCGAAAACCCUAGGCACUUCAUUUCAUCCUCACAAGUACCAUUAGAAGCCCCAUUUUACAGAUAAGAAAACUGAGGCCCAGGGAGGUUAAGUCUCUAGCCUAAGGUCUGCGCUAAAGCCAGCCUAGGGGACUGUAGCGGGACUGAACCGAAGGGAAAGAGAUUAGAAGAGGCCAGACCCGCCAGUACCAGGCCUCUCAAGAGCCCCUUGGGAACCCAGACACUGCUGCUCAGGCUAAACGUGCGGCGGGUCCCGCACUCUGAGGCAUCUGGGCGCCGCCCGCCUCCGCCCCUCCCCUUGUCCUCGGGUUGUCCAAUCCUACACUCUUCAUGUAAAUGAAGCACCUAGAUCGAGCCUAUGCGAGAGCGGAGGGGGCGUGGUCUUCAUCCCCCUCCCGGGCAACGUUCUGAUUCAUUGUUAAAAUAGAGAGGCUAUGACCCCUGGCACCCCACCCCCGCACCCCCCUGUGUGUGGAAACCCGAGCCGAGGUCAGCGCCGAGAGCCGAGAGGUUGGAAGAGAGUGGAGGCAAGUGGGGAAAGGUAGAGGGGGUGAGGGACUCUGGGAGGGACUGGCUGAAUGGCUGGAUGGAGAGGUCCAGGGGUCCAUUCUCCGGGUGGGGCAUGUGUGUCCACCGAAGGUUUUUCAUUGUUAUAUCCACACCCAAAGUGCAUUUUAGAGAAGAAUUCUGCCGGUUGGCUGGGAGUGGGGAGGAGGAAGCGGGAGCGGUGAGGGGCACAAGUAGUGGAGCCCCCCACACUUGCCCCUAGGGAAAUAAACGGCCGUUCUCCGUCUGAAGCGAUGCUCCUUUAUGUGGCGCGACUGGGAAUGAACCGCCCAGGCUGGGCCGGACCGACGCGCUCCCCCCACCCCGCCCCCUCCACCACUAGGAGCGGGGAGACGACGCGUCGACGGAGACCUCGGGGAGGGGGGGGGCGCCGAAGGGCCAGUGAGAGCCCCCCAACCCCCACCGUGCCUUGCCACCUCCCCAGGUCUGAUGGUGAAGGAGCCAGGAAUCUUCUCCCUGGUGGCCCCAGGGGAGAACGUGAAAUUCCCUCGCUCUCCGCUGAGAUUGGCAGCUAAGGCCGGAUCCCCUGGGACGCUUUGGAGGAAGCUGCACAGGCCCCACCAUCGGAUCCCAGGAGCUGCCCCGGCCGGCCGAUAUGGAGGGGGUGGCUGGGAAUGCCCCCUCUGAACGCUUUGAGGCUAAUAUGCUUGCCCAGAGCUGCUGUCAAAACUGCUUCCACCCUGAGGAGGCCCACAGAGCAAGACACCAGGUGGGCAGGCUUUCCUGAGUGGUCGGGGGGUGGGGGUGGGGUUGUGAUGGGGUGGUGGGGGGUGGGGUCUUUGAUGGAGAGGGAAGCUGGCUGGGCCACCAACUUGCAGCUGAGCUCAGACAUGGACCUUCCUGCUGGGCUGAGCCUCAAUUUUCCCAUCUGUACAGUGGGUGGUGGGACCAUGUUAAAGUUUCCCAAAGGCUAGUCAUUCUCUUCCUUUUAUGACUUUUUUUUUUUUGCCAAUCCUCCUAUAAUCUAUUACUUACAUUAUUGUUCUUGAAAUCAAUACCAUUUUUCCCCUUAUACUAAAGGAGAACUUCACGUUGCCACCACAAAUAGAAAACUAGGAUGUCCUUUAUAUAGAAGGGAAAAAGGAAAGAAAGAAAAAGAAAAA